AACCGUGCGAAGGUAGCGUAAUCACUUGUUCUUUAAAUGUGGACUAGUAUGAACGGCAUCACGAAGGUUAUACUGUCUCCUUUUUCUAAUCAGUGAAACUAAUCUCCCCGUGAAGAAGCGGGGAUAAAAUUAUAAGACGAGAAGACCCUAUGGAGCUUUAAACAAUACAGCACUUACCUAAAAAUCUUUAAUGUUUCUGUANACACUNAACUCUUUAAAGUAAAAUGACUGCAAGUUUUUGGUUGGGGUGACCACGGAGUAUAUCAUAACCUCCAUGUUGAAAGAAUUUUNNUCUAAGCCAAGAAUAACCAAUCUAAGCAUUAACAAAUUAACAUCUAUUGACCCAAUAAAUUUGAUCAACGAACCAAGUUACCCUAGGGAUAACAGCGCAAUCCACUUCAAGAGCUCCUAUCGACAAGUGGGUUUACGACCUCGAUGUUGGAUCAGGGUGUCCCAGUG
rnacentral:rRNA from 1 species